GUUUCCAUUCCUGAGUUACUUAGCUUAGAAUAAUGGUUUUCAAACUGAAUGGGGUUUGAGAUUCUGGAUUUCUAAGGAUAGAAAGCAUCAUAAAAGACAUCCAGUACAAUUUUACUUCAUUUGUGAGAAUCUGCUCUUCAACAGAAAAACACAUACACACACAAAAGAAGUCAUGUGAGCACAUAGUCAGAAGGUGAGAAGCUGGCCAUCCACAAGCCAGGAAGAAUGCUUUCACCAAAAACUGAAUUUACCAGCAUCUUGAUCUUGGACUCUCCAGUUUCCAGAACUCUUUCGUUCUGUCCGAGACACCCACAGGAGAAGUUAUCUCAGCCAUCGAGAGCAGCAGCAUCAGUAACAGCACAGCCAUGCCAG